GAUGAACGCUGGCGGCGUGCCUAAUACAUGCAAGUCGAGCGAACAGACGAGGAGCUUGCUCCUCUGACGUUAGCGGCGGACGGGUGAGUAACACGUGGAUAACCUACCUAUAAGACUGGGAUAACUUCGGGAAACCGGAGCUAAUACCGGAUAAUAUAUUGAACCGCAUGGUUCAAUAGUGAAAGACGGUUUUGCUGUCACUUAUAGAUGGAUCCGCGCCGCAUUAGCUAGUUGGUAAGGUAACGGCUUACCAAGGCAACGAUGCGUAGCCGACCUGAGAGGGUGAUCGGCCACACUGGAACUGAGACACGGUCCAGCCUCCUACGGGAGGCAGCAGUAGGGAAUCUUCCGCAAUGGGCGAAAGCCUGACGGAGCAACGCCGCGUGAGUGAUGAAGGUCUUCGGAUCGUAAAACUCUGUUAUUAGGGAAGAACAAAUGGGUAAGUAACUAUGCACGUCUUGACGGUACCUAAUCAGAAAGCCACGGCUAACUACGUG
rnacentral:rRNA from 1 species